rnacentral:rRNA from 1 species
AUUGUGUGAAUACAUAGCACAUUCGAGGUAGACGCAGAGAACUGAAACAUCUAAGUACCUGCAGGAAGAGAAAGAAAAUUCGAUUCCCUGAGUAGCGGCGAGCGAAACGGGAAAAGCCCAAACCAGCAAGCUUGCUUGUUGGGGUUGUAGGACUCCAAUAUGGUAGUUCUUUCAGAUAGUCGAAUGACUUGGAAAAGUCAGUCAAAGAGGGUAAAAACCCCGUAGACGAAAUGUGGAAGACACCUAGGAGGAUCCUGAGUACGGCGGAACACGAGAAAUUCCGUCGGAAUCCGGGAGGACCAUCUCCCAAGGCUAAAUACUCCCUAGUGACCGAUAGUGAACCAGUACCGUGAGGGAAAGGUGAAAAGCACCCCGGAAGGGGAGUGAAAUAGAACCUGAAACCGUGUGCCUACAACAAGUCAAAGCCCGUUAAUGGGUGAUGGCGUGCCUUUUGUAGAAUGAACCGGCGAGUUACGAUUGCAUGCGAGGUUAAGUUGAAGAGACGGAGCCGCAGCGAAAGCGAGUCUGAAUAGGGCGUUUGAGUAUGUAGUCGUAGACCCGAAACCAUGUGAUCUACCCAUGUCCAGGUUGAAGGUGCGGUAAAACGCACUGGAGGACCGAACCCACGUACGUUGAAAAGUGCGGGGAUGAGGUGUGGGUAGCGGAGAAAUUCCAAACGAACUUGGAGAUAGCUGGUUCUCUCCGAAAUAGCUUUAGGGCUAGCCUCGGAAUUGAGAAUGAUGGAGGUAGAGCACUGUUUGGACUAGGGGCCCAUCUCGGGUUACCGAAUUCAGAUAAACUCCGAAUGCCAUUCAUUCAUAUCCGGGAGUCAGACUGUGAGUGAUAAGAUCCAUAGUCGAAAGGGAAACAGCCCAGACCACCAGCUAAGGUCCCAAAAUAUAUGUUAAGUGGAAAAGGAUGUGGGGUUGCACAGACAACUAGGAUGUUGGCUUAGAAGCAGCCACCAUUUAAAGAGUGC